UCGAAGGUAGCAUAAUCAGUAGUUUUUUAAUUGAAAUCUUGUAUGAAUGGUUUAACGAGAUAUUUUCUGUUUCAUAAAAAUUAAUAUAGAAAUUAAUUUUUUAGUAAAAAAGCUAAAAUAUUAUUAAAAGACGAGAAGACCCUAUAGAGUUUUAUAUUAAUUUUUAUAUUAAUUAUUUAUAAUAUUUAAAUUUUUAUUAGUAGUAAUAUUUUGUUGGGGUGAUAGUAAAAUUUUUUUAUCUUUUAUUAUUAAAUUACAAUGAUUUUUGAAUAUUUGAUCUAUUUUUAGUGAUUAAAAGAUUAAAUUACCUUAGGGAUAACAGCGUAAUUUUUUUGAAGAGUUCAAAUCGAUAAAAAGUUUUGCGACCUCGAUGUUGGAUUAA
rnacentral:rRNA from 1 species